AAAUGGUGGUGGGUGACCACUGGAGUCCCCUUGGAGAGAGGCAGAGCUUCAUCACUGCUCUAUCAUCUCAGGUGGACUGACAGAAGUCUUGGUCUUGUUUCAGGCUCCUGGAAGAUGUGGUCACCUGCUUCAUGCUCUGAUCAGCAACUUGCAAGGAAGUAACACCAAGGCAAAAAAUACUUCUGGACCUGACCUUCCUCUUGCCAAGGCUGGAUGGAUCAGUUGGGUUCUGGGAAAGGAUUUCCUCCCUAAUCUGCUACGGCUUUCUUGUGGCCACUGCUCUGAGAGGCCUAUGUGUAUUAAAAGUGGCAUGUCCCUGUUAGAACCACUGGGGAGAUUUGACUGGAAUAAGCUAGAAACAGGGAUAAGAAUGCUGGUUUAAAGCCAAGAUUUAGGAAUGAGGGGCUUAAACACAGGAGAUUUGAGGCAGAGCACGGAGUAGUUCGGACGAGGGAAACAUGGCUGAAGAGCAAGACAGAGCUAGACACGGGUGCUUACUUUUAUAUUAACCAGUUCAAAAAGGGGAUGGUGGCACAGCUGAAAUGUGUCAAAAUAAUAUUCAUUUUUUCCCCAGUUAAUUCCCAACACAAAUUAACCUCAGUCAUUUUCCUCUUCCCUCUUAGACACACUCUAUUUGUCAAGCCAUGUUGCCUUAACACUUCCCAGCCAUCUGGGAUAAAUUUAGCCUGCCCAAGAAAAAAGUGCAACAUGGCAGCCCUUGGAUGAAGGAGCAGGCAAGUCUCUUGCUGACUGCAGCCUCUUGUAGGUCAUUGCAGCACACGUGUGUCCCUCUCCUCUUAUGACUUUUGUUGAAAAUGGCUCAAGGUACAAAAAACUGAAGCUUCCUGUUGGGCUAGGAAUGGAUCAGUGUGGGUAAGGUAGCGUGGGCAGGAAGGCAUGCGAGCAUCUGGUUUGAAUAGCUCCACACAUGUAAGAUCAGCCAACUUUCUCUAGGUUUCACGGGUUUUGGGUUUUUAUCCCAGAGCAGUGGUGGACCCCACCCUUCCCUGCACCUCCCAGGAAGAUUGUGGGGAGCUCAUGGACAGGGGGUCAGCCCCUUCAAUUGCAGGGGCUACUGAUGUUAGAAAUAAACCCGAAAAGUUCGGAUGUGCUCCGGAAGGUCAAGUGUCUCCUGUGACACUCGGGAGGCAGGAGGACCUGGUGCCUUGAUGUGCUUCUGAUGGGAAAGCAACAUGUGAGAAGACAGGCAACCGAGCGGCCUGCAGGAUACACAUUCCUAAAUGUCACUUAGCCAUACAACCUGCGAGGGCGGAAGCGUGGGCAGAUGGAGAAAUAAUAUUUUCAUUGAAAAUUCUCUACCUCUAAAAUAUUUCCUGUCAGGUUCCUUCCAAGGAGGGCUGGAGCAAGGAAGGAGGGGGGCUGAGGUGGGAUGUGUGGCAGUGGAUACAAGUUUGUGAUUCCUCAAGCCUCUCCAUUUUGAGAGCAUUUGACUCAAUCCCCUUUCUUCUCCCCCUCCUUGAGAAAAGGAUCAUGCUAAAUAUUGCUGGAGCCGGAGGCAGUUUGGGAAGUGAAAUAAACACCUGACUGUUAAAUGCUAAAUGUUUACUCAACCAAAAAUAAAAAUAGUUCUGGUUUCCUCCACGACACUCUAGAGUUACGUUCACCAGUGCACAUGAGCUGGAGGUUUGCAAAGGGGGAGUCUUGGAAGGUUGAAACUCUUUGGAGGGGAGAAAUUUGGAGGCAGUAAGACAGGCCUCCCUCUGUCCUGUGAGUGCUCUUCUGCCAUGGAGAAAAUGCUGCAGCUGUUUGCCUGGUGCAACUUAAAAAUAAACUCCCUCCUCCUUUCCUCAUAUCAGUUUCAUGGGUGCCAUCCCAAACCCUAGAUGUCAAGUGCAAAGGGUCAGAGUCCAAGGGUGGGCACAGACCCCUCUGUGGGAUCUGAUGAACAGGAGGGAGAUGUGCCUUGAUGCCUCAGAAGAAAUCUCCAGGAGUUUGGAGCUGCAGUCACAGCAGCCUCUGGGUGCUCAGGAACUGCAAGUGCAAAUGGUGCAAGUGGCAAACCCUUCAGCUGGGCAGUGAGGAUGUGCCUGCGUGUGGAUCAUCCCAAGACAGCAGAGCAAAAAUUAUGGUGCAGACAGUGACAUUAGGAAUUCUCACUGGAAUGUUCUUUCCUGUAGCUCUCCCCAUCGAGUUGCAGACAUCACAUUGCAACGGGUGCAAAAUUAUUCUGCUUACACUUCACCUCCAAAAUCCAAGAUGGAAAAUGCUAUGUAUUACCAGAGAUAUUUAUUGGGCUUGAUUAUAUAUGACACAUGCAUUUGCAAUAUGUUUCCUUCAGUCAGGUCAUCCAUAGAUGGACUAGGAAAUAGCAUUUAACACGCAUGAAAUAGAGCAGAUUCCUUCCCUGAACGAUGACUACUUGCUGAUUCCCAAAGCUUGCCAACUUGUAAAGUAGCCCAGAAGGGCUAUAUAUGAACUAAGCCAUCCUUCAGUAGCUACUGCACUGUCUUAUGCAGACAUUCCCUUUCAGGUAGCAAAAUAGAUUAUGACAACUGGAGAAAAGGACACCCAUUUCACACAUAUUCAGAUGGGGGAGGAAAAUAGGGCGAUCAAUGGGAGUCCAAACCAGCAUCUCUAUUCAAGCCAACACCAAUUUCUUGCUGAAAGAAGUCCCCAUCUUUCCCUUUCUUAACUGAGAGGAAGCAAAUUCAUGGGGUCCUAAAUGAUUUAGGACUCCCACAUAAGUAAGCUGAAUUGGAAUUGCAAGACUCCCAAACUUGAAUUUGGUUCUGAGAACAAUUUCUUUGGAAGCCUAAAGAGCAAAACACCCAACCUGAGCUGAGGUAAAGGUGGAUUAGCAUGGAAUUACUGUUGCUAAAAUGAAAUUUGCUAUAGUUAACCAGAAAGUGUUAGGAUAAAAAAAAUUAUAGAACAAUUUGGGCAAAGAAAAACUAGAGCCACCUGUUUAAAGUUAGCCUUUAACCUAUUCCCUCUGCCUUCCCUUUUGCUUUCUCUCUCUUUCAAAUUUUCCCAGUAUCUCCUCUUUCCAUAGAAGCAAAUCUUCCCUAGGGAAAGUCAAUUCUGAAGGCAAUUUUCCAAAAACCAUUUGGCAGAAUUGGCCGGUGCUUCAACUGCAAACAUGAAAAGGCAUUUAUUCCACUAACUCAAAUGUAGUUUGGAAGAGACAUUACUGAACUUGUUUUAGGAAUAUACUUUGACUGCAUCAGUUUUAUUGCUUCUUGUAUAAAUGUCAAAGUCAAUUUGCCUUAAAGCAGAAAAAAAGUACAUGGUAAUGUAUAUAUUACAUACAAAAAAUGGGGGGGGGGAAAGUGUUGUCUCCAUGGUAAACUCAAGCCUAUUCCAUGUUAAUUGUGCUCAUCAGACGCACUCAGUACCUCAUCAGUGGUGAGAAGAAGGAGUGGGUGUGAUCCUGUUAUUGAAGACUGUGUGUGUAGUAUUGUUGUAAACUGGCCAGCUAAUAAAAGAUCCUGAAUUUCUAUUAAUUCUUA